UCGGGUUACAGCCGCCGCCGCCGCCGCCGGCCCCCAGCCCGCCCGCUCCCCGCCGCUUCGCCGGCGCCCGCAGAGACGGGGUAACGGAACUGGGACGCCAGCGCUGCAUUGUGGGAGCUUUUAAAGCGGCGGGGAGCGCGGCGCGACCGCUGGGGCCCACCGGGCCGAGCUCGGCCCGCCACCCCCGCCCCGGCCACCCGGGCCUGCCGACCGGAAAGCCAGAACUGGUGAGCCGACUGCGGCCUCGCUGACUCUCCCGGGAGCCAAAUCUUCCACAGCCCGGGGCUGAAACUUGUAAAACUGCCCUCUCCGGUCACCCCGGAAAGUAGGAGGCUUUUUUCGCAGACGCGUUAAAAAAAAAAAAAAAAAAGCCUUUCCGUCCCCUCAGGACUGGGUCUGAACUGCUUUGCAGCUGGAGUGGCAGUGAUUCAGCGACCCCCUUCUCAGCAGCAGGCAAUGACAGAGGCAGGAGACGAAAAACAGCGAAUGAAUCAGCCGUCAGAGCUUCAUGGUGGACCAAGUUUGGUCUUCUCUGUGUUUUUGGACCAUUGUCAUGCACAGCUUCCUGGGUGAGAGGGUCUAAAAUUAAAUCUCAGGCAUUCUGAGAGAUGAGAGGCAGGCUGCCCACUUAGAGGCACCAUCUCACACAUCAGGAAGAGCUCCCAAAUUAAGGAUCCCAGGGAUUCCGUUCAAGCGAUAACAUGGAAAACAAGCCUGUGCUGCAGAGGUGAUCUGGACGCAGGAAGAAAUGAAAGACGCCUACAAUCAAAAAGUACUAUUCUGGAACUGCAGAGGACCAGUAAGCUGCCUGACCAGUGCCAAAGAUCAAUCAGGAGGACUGAGCAUCCAACAAGGUAGAAGCAGGAGCCAGGACUCUCUCUCAAGUGGACCAAAGUUUCUGGAGUUACAAAUGCCUUUAAACAAUGAUCAAGUCAUGCUGCAACAGGCACAGGAAACAAACGAACAGUGCCACAAGAAUUACUAAGCUUGGGUCUGAAAUCCCAGCAUUGAAGAAGAAGCUCCUCUCUGAAGAGACCAACAAUAGCACAUUCAUCACAAGAGCUGAGGUGAAGCCGCAGAGGAGACAACGGAAGGCUGGGCCCCGGGGGGCCAGGCUAGAGGAAAGAAAAGAGACUCCUCUUCCAGCCAAGAUGAAAGACCUGAACACCAUUCAGGAAACUUCAGCGGCCCUGCAGAGUGAAGGCCAUGAGCAGGAAAACAAAACGGACAAUCAAGCACAAAGAGAAGAUACACAUGACAAUCUCCCAAAGACACAGCGCUCUUCAGUACACUUUUUUCCAAAGAUGAUGGAUUCAGAUACUACAACACUGUCAUGGUCAUGGUCAUUAUCUAAUGAAACACCUCUCAGUUGCUUUCUGUCUACGCCUCAGAUUAGUGGAGCAACUGUAUCAACAAUUGGAAGAAAGUCUAAAUCUAUUAUAGUGAGCCAUUCCCGAUCAGAAAACAGCUUGGGAAUCAACAGCUUCAUAAUUCCAAAGAAACAUACUCCGCCAGUCACUGCUCCCGAGCCAGGUGUGACUGGAGAAGGAGAGGAUUACUUCCUAUCUUUGUUUGGUGAUUCAAAGAAACUUAACGCACACUCAUUCCAUGCUGAGAAAACUUGGAAGCAUUUUUCUAUGAUUCUUGAAGAAGUGGGCCAAUCUAGAUCCAGUGCUCUGGGAGACAUUAAAAUAGCUGAAGUGAAUGUCAAGGGUUUAUUCGUGAAGCUCAUUAACUCUUCCCUUGACAAAGAACUGGAGAUUGGAGAUCAUAUUCUCCAGCAAAAUGUGAAUGGACAAAUAAUCUGUUUGUACCGAUUCCUUCCAAAUAUCAUAAUGCAAGCCAACUCCACAGUAACGGUGUGGGCAGCAGCAUCUGAAGCAAAGCAUCAGCCACCAGCAGAUUUUCUUUGGAAGGAACAAAACAAGUUCAAAACAAGCCCGAACUGUACAACAAUCCUGUGCAAACCUAAUGGGGAAGCUGUUGCCUGGUACACUCCUAUUCACUGGAAGCAAGCGUGGGAGAAAUUAGAGACCGACAUUGAAUUUGACAGAUGCUCAAUAGUAAGUCCAGCAUCUCGAAGGCAUUUGUUCCACUGGCCAGAAGUUCCAACUACAACUGAAGAAAAACAAGAUCAAUCUAAGAAAGACAUCUCAAAAUGUCAUAUGGAACCAGUACAAGCUUUUCUUAAGAGAGAAAAGGAAAUCCCACCAACCCUUUUCCCCAAUCGCAGCCCUUGGUGCCACAGUCCCGAUGUCCCUGCACACCCCUACUGUUCUCUUAUUGAACCUCACAUUACCAGCAUGGCUGGAAGCAGCUUAGAUAGACAGCCCAGGCCUCAGUCAGCCAGGCCUAAUCCAGCACAGGGACCAAGAAAAACAAGACAUCUCGGUUACAAAAGCAAUAGGCAAUCAACUCAAUCUUUGAAGUAAUUGAGGAAGAUGUCGACGGUUUUCUGUUUUGCAAGUGGCCGUGUUUGAACUCUUCCCCAAAGACCUGAUGAUAAGAACAAUAAUAUCCAAGCCUAGAUAACACAAGAACACCUGACCUGUCCAGCCAGCCUUCAUUACACAGGAGAGGAAGCCGGCAGCAAGCAAGAAAAUGGAUUCUUUUAAAAAAGAUAAUUCCUCAGGACUUUACUGUAACGACUUCUUAAAGAAGGAGAUAGAGUUUGUGGACAAGUUCAAACAUUUGUUUUCUAGGCUGUAAAGAAGAAAAACAUUGGUCAAAAGCAAAACCAUCACAGUUUUCAUUUUAUGUACAUGGAGUUCCCCAAUCACUAACUUGAGUCUUUUGUACCCUGCCCCGGGGUUAGGUCAACAACUUCUGCCAUUCCUGCAGAUGCACUUGUUUCAGGAAUUCUCAAUCUUAUGGCCUGAUUCUCUACACUUGGAAUCUGUCUCCAUAUAGCAUGGAUUAAUUUAGCUUCCUAAUGACUGGAAGUAAUAAGUAAAGUUUGCAUGGAGUACCUAGUUGGGAGCUUUUAAACUUGACUACACUUAGCUCAAAUUCAGCCAAAAUAGUCUCACCUUCCAGCUUGUGAUACUAGGCACAAAAUCUCAUGGAUAGAGAGUGCCAAAGGCCCAAGAAUUUUUCAAUUAAAUAAUAUGAUAGAGCUACCUUUUUUUAACCAUUCUGACUUCUUAUUCAUUAGCUAUCUUAUUCUAUACCUAUCAAGAGUAUAGAAGUUGAAGAAAUAAUGAAAUAUGCUAUUUUUAAAUAUAUAUAAAAUAUAUUUUUAUAUAUAUAAAUAAAAUAUGUAAAAAUAUUUUUAAAAAUAAA